AAGCGUGUAGGCUGGUUUUCCAGGCAAAUCCGGAAAAUCAAGGCUGAGGCGUGAUGACGAGGCACUACGGUGCUGAAGCAACAAAUGCCCUGCUUCCAGGAAAAGCCUCUAAGCAUCAGGUAACAUCAAAUCGUACCCCAAACCGACACAGGUGGUCAGGUAGAGAAUACCAAGGCGCUUGAGAGAACUCGGGUGAAGGAACUAGGCAAAAUGGUGCCGUAACUUCGGGAGAAGGCACGCUGAUAUGUAGGUGAAGCGACUUGCUCGUGGAGCUGAAAUCAGUCGAAGAUACCAGCUGGCUGCAACUGUUUAUUAAAAACACAGCACUGUGCAAACACGAAAGUGGACGUAUACGGUGUGACGCCUGCCCGGUGCCGGAAGGUUAAUUGAUGGGGUCAGCGCAAGCGAAGCUCUUGAUCGAAGCCCCGGUAAACGGCGGCCGUAACUAUAACGGUCCUAAGGUAGCGAAAUUCCUUGUCGGGUAAGUUCCGACCUGCACGAAUGGCGUAAUGAUGGCCAGGCUGUCUCCACCCGAGACUCAGUGAAAUUGAACUCGCUGUGAAGAUGCAGUGUACCCGCGGCAAGACGGAAAGACCCCGUGAACCUUUACUAUAGCUUGACACUGAACAUUGAGCCUUGAUGUGUAGGAUAGGUGGGAGGCUUUGAAGUGUGGACGCCAGUCUGCAUGGAGCCGGCCUUGAAAUACCACCCUUUAAUGUUUGAUGUUCUAACGUUGACCCGUGAUCCGGGUUGCGGACAGUGUCUGGUGGGUAGUUUGACUGGGGCGGUCUCCUCCUAAAGAGUAACGGAGGAGCACGAAGGUUGGCUAAUCCUGGUCGGACAUCAGGAGGUUAGUGCAAUGGCAUAAGCCAGCUUGACUGCGAGCGUGACGGCGCGAGCAGGUGCGAAAGCAGGUCAUAGUGAUCCGGUGGUUCUGAAUGGAAGGGCCAUCGCUCAACGGAUAAAAGGUACUCCGGGGAUAACAGGCUGAUACCGCCCAAGAGUUCAUAUCGACGGCGGUGUUUGGCACCUCGAUGUCGGCUCAUCACAUCCUGGGGCUGAAGUAGGUCCCAAGGGUAUGGCUGUUCGCCAUUUAAAGUGGUACGCGAGCUGGGUUUAGAACGUCGUGAGACAGUUCGGUCCCUAUCUGCCGUGGGCGCUGGAGAACUGAGGGGGGCUGCUCCUAGUACGAGAGGACCGGAGUGGACGCAUCACUGGUGUUCGGGUUGUCAUGCCAAUGGCACUGCCCGGUAGCUAAAUGCGGAAGAGAUAAGUGCUGAAAGCAUCUAAGCACGAAACUUGCCCCGAGAUGAGUUCUCCCUGACUCCUUGAGAGUCCUGAAGGAACGUUGAAGACGACGACGUUGAUAGGCCGGGUGUGUAAGCGCAGCGAUGCGUUGAGCUAACCGGUACUAAUGAACCGUGAGGCUUAACCUU
rnacentral:rRNA from 1 species